rnacentral:sRNA from 1 species
UAAAAUAUUCCCAAAUAAAUCCAAAAUUAAAAUAUUUUAUUUCCGAUUUACUAACAUUUUUUUUUUUGAAAAGAUUUUUUCGGACAUUUUUUUGGUUGAAAAUAAAUUUUUGGUUGAAAAAUCCAAUAUUUUGAUAGAAAAUAACGCAAAAAAUAACCAACAAAAUAUUACAUAUGGUUAAAAUCGAUUUUGAGGCGUUUUAUAUAUUAUUUGGUUGCAAUAAAUUUUUUUACGCAAAUUUACCUAAAAACCGAAACGAAUAUAUUAUACCAAACCGAGGUAAUUUUAACCGAUAUCCAAACCCGAUCCGAGGCAAAAUAAAAUUAGUAAAAUAGGCUAUUUCCGGUUACCAUCCAUAAUAUAAAAAAAAAAAUCCAGGUGUAAUUAAUUGGUGCUGUAUUAUAUUUUCGAUUUUAUUAUAUUUUUUAACGGAUAUAUAUUGGAUUGUUGGAAAUGCCCGAUAUUUUGCUAUAUAAAAAUAACAAAAAUAUUUAAAAACGGCACAGUUUUUAUUUUUAUAAUGUAAAAUUUACGAUUAUAUAUAUAACCAAAUACCCAUUAUUUUUAACAAAUAUAAACCCAGAAAAUUUUAAGGGAAAUUUUUUUUAUAAUAUCGACCCACAAAGUAACCAGGUAUAAUUUCCCCUGGUUUGCAAAUUAUAUAUAACCGUUUAUUUAUUUUUUUAUAUUUGUUAAAUUUUCUUUUUUUAUUAAUAGUUUUAAUACGAGAUUUUCAAAUAUUGCGAACCCUCGUAUUUUAACCCUCCAAUUUUCCUGGUAAUUUUACUAAAAUUUCUUUCGUUUUACCAAUUAUUUUUAUUAUUACCAUUACAUUUUUUAAUAUCGUUUUCCACAAAUAGCAGCAAAAUUAUCCAUUUUUUUUUAAAAAUUAAAACCACAGCAAUUUAUUAUUAUAGGUAUUAAAAAAUAAAAAAUAUAUGGGGAAAUUGUAAUGGAGCGUAUUUUAGCAAACGGGUUUCCAACUAAUUUUUUACAAAUUAGUAA